AGAGAAUAAAAAAGACGAGAGGACACGAGGAGGGCAGACGGCAAAGAGAGAUGACACACAUAGAUAGGAGGGAAUGUUGAUGGCUCACUGGUGAGUGAAAAGAAGGAAAAGGACAGAGAGAGGACACAAAGUGGAUUACUUCAACAGUGAUGAAUGCAGCUCGGAUUCAUGACAAACAGAAGCUCAAGCUGUUCUGGGAGCAGAGGAUCGUUCAGCACAGUGAGAUCAUGGACGAGGAGGAGAAUAGAAAAAGGAGCAGCUCAUUGGCACGACUGAGAGAGCAGUGGGUGGUCCUGAUGGAUCAGCGAAAUCAGCACCAGCGAAGCUUCUUUGAGGAGCGCACGAGACGAGUGCAAGAAGUGCAACACCGCCUCAGAAAGUUGAAUUCUUUUUGAACAACAGCAAUCGUUCAUAAGCAAGAAGCACAUCCUUUAGGAGAGACGGAAUUUUGUAUUUCACAAAAAUAUUACAAGAAAACCAGAUAAACUAUUAUAGCAAUCGUCACUAAACAGUGAUGGCGGUUUUGAUAAUGAUGCCAACAACAAUCAUUUGGCUUGUGAUGCACUGUAACUGUAUCUGAUCUUUGAUACGAUCCUUUAAUAUGAAAUACUCAUUCAUACUGGUCUACAG
rnacentral:lncRNA from 1 species